UACAGCCUCAACUGCAACCAUGUUGCUAGCUUAUUUCCUGGUGCUGCUCGUAGCUGCAUCCUUUGUAUUUGGUGCAAUUGAUUUUGCUCAGCCUGGUCAUGUGGUUGUCCAGCCUGGACAGGCUUUGACCAUUGGAUGUAAAGUGUCUGGAUAUAGCUUGACUGAUAACAGCUAUUGUACAAACUGGAUCCGACAUGCUACAGGGGAAAACAUGCAGUGGAUUGGAUACAUUUGUAGCAGUGGAAGCACAGGGUACACAGAUUCACUAAAAAACAGGUUCAGCAUCACUCAGGACACUUCCAGUAACACAGUGACACUACAAGGUCAAAAUGUGCAGAUGGAAGACACAGCUGUGUAUUACUGUGUGCGAUACCGUAACACAGUGAUAUGUAUCACUUGAGUGCCUGUACAAAAACCUCUCAGAUCAGCCUCAUGCCUUUAUCAUCAUUACGAUUGCAUUGUAAAGACAUAGCACAUCAUAAUGUUUGCCUUGUGACCUUUACAUUUAUCUUAUCAUUAAUUUGCUCAGUAAUAUCAACAUACUGUUAGUGGGACAUGUCACAAUUUUUACACUUUCUUGCACUUUUUUUAUUUUUUAUUUUUAUACUUUUUACACUUUCAAUUACUAGAAAUAACAUGAGAAUUUUAAAUUUGCAUUUGGAAUGAAAAAGUAAAAUCUGAGUGUAGAGUGUGCAUACAGUAAAGUAUGUUUGAGUCGAUGCAUCAAUUCUCCUCUAUUUAUAAAAGGCACAGUAGAGCAUGUCCGUGUCGAUGCAUCAGUUCUUCCUUUACUGAAAGGAGAAACUCUAAGGUGUGUUUGAGUAGACACCUCUACCUUCCUCUUUUUAAGUAGAGGCCCAGUGAAGCAUGUUUGAGAGGAUGCCUCUAUCUUUUUCUUCUUAAUGGGAGGCCCAGGGUUCUGCCUAGAACAGGGAUCUCAAACUCAAUUUA